GUCCACGCCCUAAACGAUGUCAACUGGUUGUUGGGUCUUCACUGACUCAGUAACGAAGCUAACGCGUGAAGUUGACCGCCUGGGGAGUACGGCCGCAAAGGUUGAAACUCAAAAGGAAUUGACGGGGACCCCGCACAAGCGGUGGAUGAUGUGGUUUAAUUCGAAUGCAACGCGAAAAACCUUACCCACCUUUGACAUGUACGGAAGUCGCUAGAGAUAGCUUACGUGACUCGAAAAGAGAAGCCGUAAACACAGGUGCUGCAUGGCUGUCGU
rnacentral:rRNA from 1 species